UACGUAGGGUCCAAGCGUUAUCCGGAAUCACUGGGCGUAAAGCGCGCGCAGGCGGUCGUCCAAGUCGCGUGUGAAAGCCCCCGGCUCAACUGGGGAGGGUCACGCGAUACUGGUCGACUCGAAGGCAGGAGAGGGUAGUGGAAUUCCCGGUGUAGUGGUGAAAUGCGUAGAUAUCGGGAGGAACACCAGUGGCGAAGGCGACUACCUGGCCUGUUCUUGACGCUGAGGCGCGAAAGCUAGGGGAGCAAACGGG
rnacentral:rRNA from 1 species